rnacentral:rRNA from 1 species
UGAGGAAUAUUGGUCAAUGGUCGCUAGACUGAACCAGCCAAGUAGCGUGCGGGAUGAAGGCCCUCCGGGUCGUAAACCGCUUUUAGACGGGGAUAAAAGGGCGUACGUGUACGCCGUAUUGCAUGUACCGUCAGAAAAACGGACCGGCUAAUUCCGUGCCAGCAGCCGCGGUAAUACGGAAGGUCCGGGCGUUAUCCGGAUUUAUUGGGUUUAAAGGGAGCGUAGGCGGACUUUCAAGUCGGUGGUAAAAUCGUGUGGCUCAACCAUACCUCGCCAUUGAAACUGGAAGUCUGGAGUGCACACAGGGGUGCCGGAAUUCAUGGUGUAGCGGUGAAAUGCUUAGAUAUCAUGAAGAACUCCGAUCGCGAAGGCAAGUGCCCGGGGUGCAACUGACGCUGAGGCUCGAAGGUGCGGGUAUCGAACAGGAUUAGAUACC